CCCCUAUCAGUAUCACAACUGAAGAGUUUCCAGUACUCUAUCAGUCUUGGCUAGGGGAGGGAGAGUCAAGCAGAGGCAUAUCCAUUCCAUUCCUUGCUUGGGCAGUGGCUAGCGAGUGGAAGGCAAUCUGCUACAAGU
rnacentral:snoRNA from 2 species